rnacentral:rRNA from 1 species
GACGAACGCUGGCGGCGUGCUUAACACAUGCAAGUCGAACGGAAAGGCCCUGCUUUUGUGGUGUGCUCGAGUGGCGAACGGGUGAGUAACCCGUGAGUAACCUGCCCUUUACUUUGGGAUAACUUCAGGUAACUGGGGCUAAUACCGGAUAGGAGCUCCUGCUGCAUGGUGGGGGUUGGAAAGUUUCGGCGGUUGGGGAUGGACUCGCGGCUUAUCAGCUUGUUGGUGGGGUAGUGGCUUACCAAGGCUUUGACGGGUAGCCGGCCUGAGAGGGUGACCGGCCACAUUGGGACUGAGAUACGGCCCAGACUCCUACGGGAGGCAGCAGUGGGGAAUAUUGCACAAUGGGCGGAAGCCUGAUGCAGCAACGCCGCGUGCGGGAUGACGGCCUUCGGGUUGUAAACCGCUUUCGCCUGUGACGAAGCGUGAGUGACGGUAAUGGGUAAAGAAGCACCGGAUAACUACGUG